rnacentral:rRNA from 1 species
UACGUAGGGUGCAAGCGUUGUCCGGAAUUAUUGGGCGUAAAGAGCUCGUAGGCGGUCUGUCACGUCGGCUGUGAAAUCCCGAGGCUCAACCUCGGGUCUGCAGUCGAUACGAGCAAACUAGAGUGUUGCAGGGGAGACUGGAAUUCCUGGUGUAGCGGUGAAAUGCGCAGAUAUCAGGAGGAACACCGGUGGCGAAGGCGGGUCUCUGGGCAACAACUGACGCUGAGGAGCGAAAGCGUGGGAGCGAACAGG